UCAUGCUUUUUACCCAAAAAUUUAUACAUUCGCACAUGUACACGGGUGAAACCCGAAGGAUUCGCUUACGUUGGACUUAUACUAUUUGGAACGUAAACAUGCUUAUAUGCUACAUUUCUAUACUCACGCAUUCCUAUUAACAAAAUUUAUGUAUACCAUGAUUCAUACGCAACUAAUACAAGCUAUGCGGAUCAUGCGAUGAUUGGUAUAAUCGCGGGUGCACACGGGAUUAUAGUAAUAAGCGCAUGAAAAACCAUAGAGUGUACUACUGUGUAUGGUAAGACACGAAACGUAACAUGACACCGAAUACGAAACGGACGUAAUGUGGUCAAAACAUGGUGGAUACGCCGCUGGUACUUCCUAUAUAUAUAAGUGUUUUCACCAUGUUACCAAAAUUUCGUAAAAUGAGCCAUGAGAAAUUCAGUGUUUUGCAGACCUUUGGACCAAAUUCAAACUUUAAACAACUCACAAACGCAUUAUAUCCGAUUAACCAUGACGAGAAUUCAUUCUUAGCACACUACUUUCGUCUAUCCAAUGCUUACGCUACUAUUAUACUCGCAUUCGUUUAUUAAAAUCAAUCGUUCGCUUAUAUACUCCCCUUAUUCUCCUUUAUUCUUUGUCUUUUAUACGAACACCGUUCGCGAUCAGGUCUCAUCUACCCUCUCUGUUAAAUCUUUGGAUCUCAUCUUUUCAAAAGUCUUCAUCUUAGAUUUCGAGGACGAAAUCUCCUAAAGUAGGGGAGACUGUAGCAUCCGCCAAAAGAUUUAUAUAUGGUAAAUGAUCCAUUUAAUUAAUUAAUUAUUUGUUUUGUAAAAAAAACAAUGUAGUAAUUAAUUAAUUAAUCUUAUUAAUUUAAAAGGGUUAUUUAGAUAACUAAGUUAAUGUGACCAUUUAAUCAACUCCUUAAGUUGGGGGACUAAUUAUGUUUUUACUAAUAGUAUAAUAUGAUACCCAAACCCUAACCCUUAUUUGUUGUCAGCCGUCACCUGCAUAAGCCACUCCCCAACUUUGUUGCAACUAGAAUCAUCAGACACACUCCUUCAUCCAUCUCCUCCACCUCUCAUUCUCUCAAAAACUCUAUGUAACAAAUAAACCUUCUCACCUUCAACCUCUCAAACCCACACAUCUUGACACAACCACCUCCCUCGUUCUCUUUCCUUCUCACGAAACGAAACGCAAAAGCCAUUCGCCGUAGUCGGAAUCUCACCAGGGUUUGAAGCAUCACCGGAAAGGUCAGAACUCGCCGGAAUCACGCCCGGAGUUCAUCGAGUCGGACACGGCUCUUCUCGUUUUGCAUAAAAAAAGACAACCGGAACCGUGACAAAGCCAGGAUACGUUUCGCCACCCUCUCACCGUUGUUUCACUCGCGAGAACGAUAACAAACUCGUCGGAGAAAGCUAGUCGUCACCGGAGUUCACCGGAGCCGUCCGAAUCACGUCGGAGACUCGGAGAAGGCGACCGGAAAGCCCGCGGCCCUUAUAUCGUUUCGGUUAAUCGCUAUCGUUCGUUCUCUUGGUUUCCUAACCUUACUCGUGCGUUACUUACAAGAAAGCGCAACGCAACCAAUAAUGGCUGCGGAUGUAAAGAUACGCAAAACACCAACUACGAAAACAUUGGCGAGAAUACUUGACAACCUCCUGGAAGAUGGUGCGGUGCACAUAAGGAAGUGAUUGAUCAGAACGAUCAAUUGCUAAAAGAUAAGCUAAUUGGUGCAUAUGAAUGAAUAUAACCCCAGUGGCAGAUAUGUAAUUAGCGAGCUCUGGAAUUUCAAUGAAAAUCGAAGAGCUACACUAAAGGGGGCUAUCAGCUACAUUCCGAAGUGCACCACUCACUCCUUGAGUUUUCAUCAUAAAGAAAUUCAAAAACUCGUUGUAUGUUACGAUCUUUUGUUAUCGAGUCUGUAAGUUCCGUCAAGUCUACCAAGUUGGAUAUCCUUCUACCAAGUGUGCAUUUAUGUUGUGUUUAAUUGUAAUCAUGCUUAACUGUUUAACUUAGUGAUAUGUUCUGUC